UGUAACUCUUGUCUAGGCUCUACCUACAGGGGCUUUGUGACAUAUCUCUGUACUGAUCAGCCAUGUGAUGGGACUUUUGUCUAGGCUCUGCCUACGGGGGCAUUUUGACAUAUCUCUACACUGAUAAUCGAGGUGAUUUAACUCUUGUGUUGGAUCUGCCUAGGGGGCAUUGUGACAUAUUUCUGCACUGAUCACCCUGGUGAUGGGACUCUUGUCUAGGCUCUGUGUAUGGGGGCUUUGUGACAUAUCUCUGCACUGAUGACCCAGGUGAUGGGACUUUUGUCUAGGCUCUGCCUAUGGGGGCAUUGUGACAUAUCUCUACACUGAUCACCCAGGUGAUG
rnacentral:lncRNA from 10 species